AGCGAACGCUGGCGGCAGGCUUAACACAUGCAAGUCGAGCGGGCAUCUUCAGAUGUCAGCGGCAGACGGGUGAGUAACACGUGGGAACGUACCCUUCGGUUCGGAACAACUCUGGGAAACUGGAGCUAAUACCGGAUACGCCCUUAUGGGGAAAGGUUUACUGCCGAAGGAUCGGCCCGCGUCUGAUUAGCUAGUUGGUGGGGUAACGGCCUACCAAGGCGACGAUCAGUAGCUGGUCUGAGAGGAUGAUCAGCCACACUGGGACUGAGACACGGCCCAGACUCCUACGGGAGGCAGCAGUGGGGAAUAUUGGACAAUGGGCGCAAGCCUGAUCCAGCCAUGCCGCGUGAGUGAUGAAGGCCUUAGGGUUGUAAAGCUCUUUUGUCCGGGACGAUAAUGACGGUACCGGAAGAAUAAGCCCCGGCUAACUUCGUG
rnacentral:rRNA from 1 species